CUUAAGGGAUGCACCUGGGAACUACCUUAGCUGAGGCACCUAAUAAAGAGACCUCUGAAUGGAGGUGCUUGCCCUAGGAAUGUAGAUAUGUACAAAAAUAUGGCUGGCCCUGGAAGGCAUGAGUCCUUUACUGUAACUCCCUCCGGAGACUGUGAUGCAGUGGCAGCUCCCCCCACAUCACAUCCCAUGAGGCCUGCCUGGUAAAGCCUUGUCAUUGCCUAUGGUCCGGUCUGAAAGUUCACAUGUAGAUUUUAGUUUGGAAGCUGAUUCUCACCUCCCAUUAGAGGCAGGAUUAUUUACCUCUUCUUAGAUUUGGCCAAAUAACUUGCUUUGUUCAACAAGAUAAGUGAAAAAUGAUGAUAGCAGGUAAAGUAAAUGCUUGCUAUUGUAUGCUGCCGAGAUUCUAUGACCCUUGCUUAUAUAGUAACAGUUUGCUGAUACAAUCUCCAUUUUUAAAUUACUCGUUGGAGCUAGGCAAAAGUUACCAAUAGCUGUUAAUAUCACAGAACAAGAGACUUCAUAUGAUGUGCCUCCUCAUAGAAGUAUAUAAUACCACCUAUGAAAUAGCUAUGACAAAAUUCAAGCUUGAAAUGGAUCAUGCCUCUAGUGAUAAUUAAAAAUUUACAGAAAGCAUAUAUAGGUGAUAGAAUGUAUAAAACAAUACUGAAAUCUAAAUUAUGGGAAACUUUGAUGACAAAUGGUCCAGAGGACAAACGGUCCAGUUUGUCCUCAAAGGUGGGGACAGGGGAGAGAGAGGAAGCAAAUAGAUUUUAAAAUACUGAAGGAAAUAUAAAAACCAGUCACCAUGGGCCUGGGAUUUAGCUCAGUGGUUCCACCACCUGCUUCGCAAGUGCUACAUCCCGAGUUCGAUCCCUGGUACCAAAAACAAACAAACAAACAAAACCAGUCACCACAUAGGGCAUUAGAUCCCAAUUAAAACAAAAUGUUUAAAAAUAUGAGACCAUAGGCCGGGGAUUUAGCUCAGUGGUUCCGCUGCCUGCCUUGCAAGCACAAAGUCUCGCUCGAGUUGGAUCCCCAGUACCAAAAAAAAAAAAAAAGAGAGAUAAUAAAGGCUUUUUUAUAUGAACACUGGAUAUUUAGUAUUUUAGGGAAUUAUUGCUAUUUUAGAAAUGAUAAUAGUUUUGUAGUUGCUCUACUUUUUUGCAGCACAACAAAUAGCCCUAGAACUUAGUGGUUUAAAACAGCAGACAUAAAAUUAAAUCUCACAACUUGGUGGACCAGGACAUUGAGCAGGGUUCAGCUCGGUAAUUUUUCUGCUUCAGUGGUACCACUUCAUGGUAUGCACAGAUGGGCAGACAUAGGAGAUCCAUGAUGGCUUUACUUUCAUGUCUGGUGCCUUUGAGAGGAAGACUGGAAGGCUGGGUUCAACUGAGCACUUGCGUGUGACCUGGUCACUGUGGCACUUUCUCGGUUGUCAGAUAUCUUACAUGGAAUCACAGAUUUUCAAAGAACGUGUCCUAAGAGGUCCAGAUGGAAGCUUCAAAGACACUGAAGAACUAACUUUGGAAGUGCCAGAAUGCUGCUUCAGCCUCAUUUUACUAGGCAAGCAACUUGCUAUCGUCAGCUGGGAUUCAAAGUGAGGAGAAUUAGACCACGGAAGAGGCCAUAUGUCAUCUAUCUCAGUGGUUAUCCUUUUAAAAGGAGAUACCUUCUAGAGCUAUUGCUUAAAGAUACAAAAAUAAAUCAGACCAUGAGAUUUCUCAGAGGGAACCUGAACAUUGCUUGUGAAGAUUCUUUCUCAUUGCCGGCCCAGGACAUCUCCCCUUCCUUCCUACAUCGACUGCACAUCGACUGCAGCUGGUCUGCGGCAAAAGGACUCAUCACAUAGAGACAAUAAUGGCAAAGCACCAGGAAAUCCCUAGCCAGAAGCAAGAGCCUGAGUCCCCAAAUCACCCCAUGGAAAAAAGUCAUACCCAGCCAGAAACCUCUCAUUUGACAGCUGCAUGAGCAAAAAAUUAUGUUAAGCCACUGUGAUUUUACAUUUUAUUUGUUAGAGCAACAAGAGCUAUUCUAUCAUAGUGACCUAAUCUAAGUAGUAUUCUACCCUAUUGGGUGAAAUGCAAUCACAUAUACACUCAUUAUAUAUACACAGAUACAAAUAAUGUAUAUACACAGAUGCUUUGCUUUUUUAAUGGGACUGUGAAAUCGUACAUCCUUUCUGACAUACAAUUUGACAAUAUAUAUUGAAGCUCUUAUUCAUGCACUUACUUGUGUUUAAUUAUGUGAUUAACUUGACUUAUUCCUAGCAGUUUAACCUGAGUAAACAAUAUGCACUAAGUGCCUAUUUAAAUCCAAUCAUGUUCAAUAUGGCACUUUUUUAUAUGUAAGAUUCAUGAAUUCAUGAAUGAUUAAAAUAUAUUUUGGUACUUUAGACAAUAGAAUCUUUGAAAUAGUUAAAAUAAUAUUACAGAAUAUUGCCACAUGUCAUAGGAAAUGAUAAGGAUAUCUUAUUAAAUUAAGACAGAAAAAUGUAACAGGUAUAAUUUGGCCCAAUUAUUUUUUAAAGUGUAUAUCUUUGUGUCUGUAUGUAUCUUUUUAAUUCUCCAGAAAGACUAAAAGGAAAUACACCAAAACUUACCAAAAAUUAUAUAUAAAUACUAUAAUUAAAAGUGAUUUUAAAAUUCUGUUGAAUGUUCCAAAUUUUCAUCACUGAAUAUACAUUUUUGUUAUAUAAAUUUGGUGUGUAUGUAUAAUAUAUACACACAAUUACAUAUUUAUAUGUAUAUGUAUAUAGUCACAUAUGCACAUUGAAGAGUGAUCCUCCUGUAAAAUAGGCUUUCUUGCAGAGUACAAAAUGAACAUGCCAGGUCCCUGGUGAUUGUAGGGAAAUGUGACAAAGAAGUAGUUCACUGAGAAAUGAAGAGGGAGGAAGGUGUAUCCAGUAGAAGCCAUUCCACUCUAAGUUGAUUCUGAAGAGAACUGCAGAGGGCACUAACAGAACACUAAGUGUUUUUUGAAUUAUAAUUUUUAAAGAUGAGUCCCUAUAGGACUCCCACAGUAAUUCUGGCCUAACAUACACAUAAGUUAUUCCAAUCUUAACCACUAUUUCACAAUACUGCAAAAUCCAUGCCUGCAUCCAACAGACAAAGGUCAUCCUG
ensembl:lncRNA